rnacentral:rRNA from 1 species
UACGUAGGUGGCAAGCGUUAUCCGGAUUUAUUGGGCGUAAAGCGAGCGCAGGCGGUUGCUUAGGUCUGAUGUGAAAGCCUUCGGCUUAACCGAAGAAGUGCAUCGGAAACCGGGCAACUUGAGUGCAGAAGAGGACAGUGGAACUCCAUGUGUAGCGGUGGAAUGCGUAGAUAUAUGGAAGAACACCAGUGGCGAAGGCGGCCUGCUGGGCUUUUACUGACGCUGAGGCUCGAAAGUGUGGGGAGCAAACAGG